UGGGGGAGUGAGGAGGGCGCCGGUCUAAAGCACGAGAGCUCGGCGCAUGGCGACAAUAUAGAUCGGCUACAGCGGCGGCGACGACCCAACGGCGAAAGGGGAUGGCUGCAUGAUGAUCUUGUUCUGAUCAAUUCUGAAAUAGGAAUGGAGGACUACUGUGGUGGUCACUGUUGAGGAUGCUGGGUUACCUGACAGUAGGUAUGCAGUUUCAGAAUUAUUGGUUGGACGUACAGUCUCAAGUCUCAACCUAGCAAGAACACUUUCAUGCUGAUACAUUUUUUGUCUGAAAAAAUAUUUAGUCCUUUUUGUCUUGGAACAAUAUAAAUUCUGCAAUGGUCGUGCUACAACACAUGCCUUACAAUUUCUUCACUGCAAUAUUAUGCUACAACAUAUGUCUUAUGUAUUUCAUUUUGUAUCAGUUUACUUGCCAGAUUUUAAAUUGGAGCUUAGCAUGAACUGAAGAGAGGAUACUUCAACAUGUAUGUGCUGAAAG
rnacentral:lncRNA from 1 species